rnacentral:rRNA from 1 species
UACGUAGGGUGCAAGCGUUGUCCGGAAUUAUUGGGCGUAAAGAGCUCGUAGGCGGUCUGUCGCGUCUGCUGUGAAAAUCCAGGGCUCAACCCUGGACCUGCAGUGGGUACGGGCAGACUAGAGUGCGGUAGGGGAGAUCGGAAUUCCUGGUGUAGCGGUGAAAUGCGCAGAUAUCAGGAGGAACACCGGUGGCGAAGGCGGAUCUCUGGGCCGUAACUGACGCUGAGGGGCGAAAGCAUGGGGAGCGAACAGG